AGAACGAACGCUGGCGGCAGGCCUCAAACAUGCAAGUCUAGGGGGUGCAGCAAUGCAUCACCGGCGGACGGGUGCGUAACACGUGGGAAUAUACCUUUUGGUUCGGAACAACGCAGGGAAACUUGCGCUAAUACCGAAUGUGCCCUUACGGGGAAAGAUUUAUCGCCAAAGGAUUAGCCCGCGUCCGAUUAGCUAGUUGGUGAGGUAAUGGCUCACCAAGGCUCCGAUCGGUAGCUGUUCUGAGAGGAAGAUCAGCCACACUGGGACUGAGACACGGCCCAGACUCCUACGGGAGGCAGCAGUUGGGAAUCUUGGACAAUGGGGGAAACCCUGAUCCAGCCAUGCCGCGUGAGUGAUGAAGGCCUUCGGGUUGUAAAACUCUUUCGACGGGGACGAUAAUGACGGUACCGUAGAAGAAGCUCCGGCUAACUUCGUGCCAGCAGCCGC
rnacentral:rRNA from 1 species